rnacentral:rRNA from 1 species
GACGAACGCUGGCGGCGUGCUUAACACAUGCAAGUCGAACGGGUCUGCCCUGUUUUUUGCGGGGUGGGUCAGUGGCGAACGGGUGAGUAACACGUGAGUAACCUGCCCCUCACUUCUGGAUAACCGCUUGAAAGGGUGGCUAAUACGGGGUGUUCUGGCUGUGCCGCAUGGUGUGGCUGGGAAAGAUUCACUUUUGUGGUGUUUUGGUGGGGGAUGGGCUCGCGGCCUAUCAGCUUGUUGGUGGGGUGAUGGCCUGCCAAGGCUUUGACGGGUAGCCGGCGUGAGAGGGUGGGCGGUCACACUGGGACUGAGAUACGGCCCAGACUCCUGCGGGAGGCAGCAGUGGGGGGUAUUGCACAAUGGGCGGAAGCCUGAUGCAGCGACGUCGCGUGAGGGAUGGAGGCCUGCGGGUUGUGAACCUCUUUCGCCGGUGAAGAAGGUCCUGCUCUUUGUGGUGGGGUUGACGGUAGCCGGGUUAUGAAGCGCCGGCUAACUACGUG